rnacentral:rRNA from 1 species
CUAAUAUGACAAUAUAUUAUAUAUUAUCAGGUUACGACGGCAUACAAAAUAUUACAUGAAGUAGACUACCUUGGUGGUUAUCAAUUAUUCGGUAAGUUCCCCUAAAUUUUAAAAUUACCGUCAUGCUAUUUGAGUUUUAAUCAAGGAAAGAUUUUAGUACUCAAUAUUAUGUAAAUGGGUAUUGUAUAAAAGGGUAUCUAAUCCUUGUUUAUGAUCAAUAUUUAGAAAAUAUACUAGAUUAUUUUAAGGUUAUAAAUACUAUUUCACCAAAUUUAUGAUAUAAUAAGCUUAAUAAUACUAUAUAUAGUUUAUUACUAUUAAAGUCUGACCGCGACUGCUGGCACUUUUUUAGUCAUAGUAUAUAAAAUUGGUUUAUUCUUACUUUCGUAAAUUUUUAAAUUUUCUUUCCUGGUUAAAUCUUUU